CUCUCUCUCUCUCUCUCUCGCUCUCUCUCUCUGGUUCAGUAGCCUUUAGUCUUAGCCUCCUCUCCCUCCACUUCUAGCCUCACUGACUGCUCAUUAUACGACGGGGAGCUGGGAGAGGGGCUGAGGUGAUUUUCCUGUGUCGCCGUGUUGAUUACCAUGGUGCCGCGGAUACCGCUCCCGUCUGGGACAAGCAAUCCCCACGCUCAUUUCCAUGGCAAUCUCAGGUUUGGAAUACUGAGUGAUCUGAGACAGGAUAGGCUAGUGCUAAAGGAGAGGUUUCCUAUUAUAGGUCUUUGUGGAGGACUUUGAUUCAGAUGAAAAUUGUGUAUGUCUGAGGCAGAGUCCUAAAUUGCACCCUAUGAAGUAAGGCUAUAGCGAUUAGAACUUUUUGAGGUCGUUUCGUUUCGAUUGUUAAAAAAUAAUCACUGUUUUUGGUUUCUAUUUAUUUAUUUAGACAUGAAAUUCCGGGUCGAAUGCUGUUUCACAUAAUACAACAAUGAGCUCGCGAAGCAACUGCCUUCGAUCCCUCUCGACCACGCCUCGAUCAGACCGUCAACGUCCUAGCAGUCAAAACAUCUUUCCUUUCAACCCAUGUUUACCAGAUGUGUGCAACAACAGUGCAACAUUCACCUUCUGCUACUGUUUCUAUCAAGUCGUUACAUACAGUUUGAUGUGCACUGGAACUACCUCUGCAACACAAUGCUGCAAGCCAAACAAGCCAAACAAGCCAAACACAGCAUUCUAUUAGAAAUGAAUAUGCGUCUGGUGGAGCAAAACGCAAUGACGCUGUCGGUCUGAGUAAGGCGCCAGUCUCCAUGUCCUGCUCCGCACAGACCACACAAGUUGAAGCGGGCGCGUUAAUGGAUUAUGGUCAUUGUAGUUAAUUACCACGUCUUCUGUGCUAAACUAUGCACACUGAAUAAAAAUAUAAACGCGAUAUGUCAAAGUGUUGGUCCCAUGUUUCAUGAGCUGAAAUAAAAGAUCCCAGACAUGUUCCAUACGCACAAAAAGCUUACUUCUCUCAAUUUGUGCUCAAUUUUGUUUACAUCCCUGUUAGUGAGCAUUUCUCCUUUGCCAAGAUAAUCCUUCCAUGUGGCAUAUCAAGAAGCCGAUUUAAACGGCAUGAUCAUUACACAGGUGCACCUUGUACUGGAGACAAAAGCCCACUGAAAUCUGCAGUUUAGUGUCACAACACAAUGCCACGGAUGAGUCAAGUUUUGAGGGAGUGUGCAAUUGGCAUGCUGACUGCAGGAAUGUCCACCAGAGCUGUUGCCAGAAAUUGUAAUGUACAUUUCUCUAAGCUGCCUCCAAAGUCGUUUUUAGAGAAUUUGGCAGUAUGUCCAACUGGCCUCACAAUGGCAGAUCACGUGUAUGGCGUUGUGUCGGCAAGUGGCUUGCUGAUGUCAAUGUUGUGAUCAGAGUGCCCCAUGCUGGUGGUGGGGUUAUGGUAUAGGCAGGCCUAAGCUACGGACAAUGAACACAAUUUCAUUUUAUCGAUGGCAAUUUGAAUGCACACAGAUACCGUGACGAGAUCCUGAGGCCCAUUGUCGUGCCAUUCAUCUGCAGCGAUCACCUCAUGUUUCAGCAUGAUAAUGCACAGCACCAUGUUGCAAGUAUCUGUACUCAAUUCCUGGAAGCUGGAAAUAAUCCAGUUCUUCCAUGGCCUGCAUACUCACCAGACAUGUCACCCAUUGAGCAUGUUUGGGAUGCUCUGGAUCCACGUGUACGACUGCGUAUUCCAGUUCCCGCCAAUAUCCAGUAACUUUGCACGGCCAUUAAAGAGGAUUGGGACUAUAUUCCACAGGCCACAAUCAACAGCCUGAUCAACUCUAUGAAAAGGUGAUGUUGCGCUGCAUGAGACAAAUGGUGGUCACACCAGAUACUGACUGGUUUUCUGAUGCCACGCCCCUAUUUUAGGGUAUCUGUGACCAACAUCAUCUGUAGUCCCAGUUAUGUGAAAUCCUUUGAUUAGGGCUUAAUUAAUUUAUUUUUAUUGAUUCAUGUUCUUAUAUGAACUGUAACUCAGUAAAAUCUUUGAAAUUG